GAUGGCCAGCCACAUUGGGACUGAGAAACGGCCCAGACUCCUACGGGAGGCAGCAGUGGGGAAUCUUGCGCAAUGGCCGAAAGGCUGACGCAGCGACGCCGCGUGUGGGAGGACGCCCUUCGGGGUGUAAACCACUGUUGCCCGGGACGAAUAUCCUCUUUUGAGAGGAUUGACGGUACCGGGUGAGGAAGCACCGGCUAACUCCGUGCCAGCAGCCGCGGUAAUACGGAGGGUGCGAGCGUUGUCCGGAAUCACUGGGCGUAAAGGGCGCGUAGGCGGCAGGGAAAGUCGGCGGUGAAAGCCCGGAGCUCAACUCCGGGUCGGCCGUUGAUACUUCUUUGCUCGAGCACUGUAGAGGCAGAUGGAAUUCCGGGUGUAGCGGUGGAAUGCGUAGAGAUCCGGAAGAACACCGGUGGCGAAGGCGGUCUGCUGGGCAGUUGCUGACGCUGAUGCGCGACAGCGUGGGGAGCAAACAGGAUUAGAUACCCUGGUAGUCCACGCCGUAAACGAUGGGCACUAGGUGCUUGGGGGAGCGACCCCCUGAGUGCCGGCGCUAACGCAUUAAGUGCCCCGCCUGGGGAGUACGGCCGCAAGGCUGAAAC
rnacentral:rRNA from 1 species